rnacentral:tRNA from 1 species
GGAAGCACGUCCGUCGCUGGUGGGCGGCCCGGUCUUCAAAACCGGUGGAGGGGAUGAGAAAUUUCCUCGGUGGGUUCGAUUCCCAUGUGCUUCCGCCA